rnacentral:rRNA from 1 species
UACGGAGGGUGCAAGCGUUGUUCGGAAUCACUGGGCGUAAGGGCGUGUAGGCGGCCUGUUAAGUCCGAUGUGAAAUCCCCUCGCUCAACGGAGGGACUGCGUCGGGAAACUGGCAGGCUAGAGUACCGGAGGAGGAAGGUGGAAUUCCCGGGUGGUAGCGGUGAAAUGCGUAGAUAUCGGGAGGAACACCGGGUGGCGAAAGCGGCCUCUGGACGGAUACUGACGCUGAUACGCGAAAGGCGUGGG